GAGGGUCAUAUGAUGAUUAGAAGCAUAGUUCAGAUGAUAUGUCUGUGAUUAUUUUAUUUCUUGUCUUUCGCUCCUAUCUGAUGACCCCU